AUCGCUUCUUGGCCUUUUGGCUAAGAUCAAGUGUAGUAUUUGUUCUUACCAGUUUAAUAUCUGAUAUGUUCUCUAUCUGAGGAUAUUAUAUUAAAUGGAUUUUUGGAGCUGGCAGAUGGAAUAGGAGCUUGCUUCAUCCACUCUGCACAUUGACCCGGAAUUGCAGUACUUCCGGGAACAGUGCACCAAAC